rnacentral:misc_RNA from 1 species
CGCACAUUGCGCCCAUUAGUAUUCUAGUGGGCAUGCCUGUUCGAGCGUCAUUAAGUCCACUUAAGCCUUUUGCUUAGCAUUGGGAAUCUACGCCUUGUAGUUCCUUAAAGACAGCGGCGGAGUCGUGGUUCUACUCUGAGCUUAGUAAUUUUUUCUAGCUUUCGAGUGCCCACUUCCCUUGCCGUAAAACCCCCCAUUUUUAAUGGUUGACCUCGGAUCAGGUAGGAAUACCCGCUGAACUUAA